rnacentral:lncRNA from 1 species
UCAAAUGCGGCCAUGUCACACUUCAAUUUGAUUGGUCGAAAAGAGUUUGUUCUUAUCACAACUCUUCCCUUCCACAACUAUAAAUAGAGGUCUUCAUAACUCAGAAAGGACACCAGUAUCGUAUUUUUACCCCUGCUCGGUAGUUUUGUAGCAGGUUGUUUCGGACGUUUUUUAGGAGAAGUAAGGAAGUUAUAACACGAAGCAAGAAAGAGCUCGUGGAUCAAACGUUGAAAAUUCCUCCACAAAUUUUAAGCUUCGAGUUCAAGUUCAAGAAAUCAAGUUCAAGCUCAAAAACGAAGAACAAAACAAGGUCAAGUUCAAGCAAUCAAGCUCAAGCUCAAGAACAAAAUCAUCGUUCGAGACAACAAACAUAGAUUCAAGAUCAAGCUCAAGAGCCCUUGAAUUUAUUUACUAUUGGAAAGAAGAAUCAGAGGAUUCAUACACAUUAUAACACUCAAAUAUUCGAAAUAAAAUAUUACAAUUGUUACGAUAUUUUCGGUGUUGAUUUUAUUUUCUCGAUCUACACCAGUUCUACAGAAAAAUCAUUGAUUAACUACCCUUCAACCAUAUGAUAGUUUUGUAUGCGAGAGUUUGAGAUCUGAUGACUUUAAAUAGUAUUAAGUAGUACUAUUUUAGCUGUUAGGGAUAUUAUAACUCCACAUAUCUCAAGAAGAUUAGAUUCUUUUGAGCUGCCACACUUUAAAUUGGGAUUCCGGCAAACGCAAUGGAGUUUUCUUUUAACAAACAUUGAAGAAGCAGAUUGAAAAUAAAGAUUAAGGCAAAAAAAAGAAAAAACUAAGAAAAGGAACCAAAUCAUCAUGCUCUGAAUUUAUAAGAAAUAACAGUGGAGGAGGAUAGAAUUGGGACCUUAGUAAAAUAGCUCCAGUAAUACAAGAAAGAAAAUCUGUUAUUGCUUAAAUCCAAUAUCGCUAAAUGUGACCGGACAAAGUAACUGCAACCUCGAACCAAUAGCCACGAACGGAGAACUCCUUUUCUUAAUCUCACCAUAAAUUUUCUUUUAAAACAAUCUGUUCUAUUUCUUUUGACAAGUCUUUCCUUUCCUCUUUUUCAAUGUUCUAUUCUUUUUGUUUCAAAGAUUUCGAAGCUUUUUUUCUUUUCCUUCAGUUUUUUGUUAUCUCUUUUUAAAAAAAAAUUCCUCCAGAUGCUUCGUUGUUUCAAAUCUCGUUUUUCUUCUUUUCUAGUUUUCUGUUUUCCCAAAAUCUUCGUCACUUUCGUUUUCCCUCCUCACUUUCUUUGUGUGUCUUAAUUAUAUAUAGACGUGUGAGUAUAACUGAUGUUAGGAAGUAGAGAGAUGAGUGGGGAAAUGGGAAAAGGGGCGUGAGGGAGUUAAGAUAUGUAGGG